rnacentral:rRNA from 1 species
UACAGAGGGGGCAAGCGUUGUUCGGAAUUACUGGGCGUAAAGGGCGCGUAGGCGGCCUGUUAAGUCGAACGUGAAAUCCCCGGGCUCAACCCGGGAACUGCGUCCGAUACUGGCAGGCUUGAAUCCGGGAGAGGUUGGUGGAAUUCCCAGUGUAGAGGUGAAAUUCGUAGAUAUUGGGAAGAACACCGGUGGCGAAGGCGGCCAACUGGACCGCAACUGACGCUGAGGCGCGAAAGCGUGGGGAGCAAACAGG